rnacentral:rRNA from 1 species
UUNUGAACUGGGUGACUAGAGUGUNUCAGAGGGAGGUAGAAUUCCACGUGUAGUAGUGAAAUGCGUAGAGAUGUGGAGGAAUACCGAUGGCGAAGGCAGCCUCCUGGGAUAACACUGACGUUCAUGCCCGAAAGCGUGGGUAGCAAACAGGAUUAGAUACCCUGGUAGUCCACGCCCUAAACGAUGUCGAUUAGCUGUUGGGCAGCAUGACUGCUUAGUAGCGAAGCUAACGCGUGAAAUCGACCGCCUGGGGAGUACGGUCGCAAGAUUAAAACUCAAAGGAAUUGACGGGGACCCGCACAAGCGGUGGAUGAUGUGGAUUAAUUCGAUGCAACGCGAAGAACCUUACCUGGUCUUGACAUGUACGGAAUCCUCCAGAGACGGAGGAGUGCCUUCGGGAGCCGUAACACAGGUGCUGCAUGGCUGUCGUCAGCUCGUGUCGUGAGAUGUUGGGUUAAGUCCCGCAACGAGCGCAACCCUUGUCAUUAGUUGCCAUCAUUAAGUUGGGCACUCUAAUGAGACUGCCGGUGACAAGCCGGAGGAAGGUGGGGAUGACGUCAAGUCCUCAUGGCCCUUAUGACCAGGGCUUCACACGUCAUACAAUGGUCGGUACAGAGGGUAGCCAAGCCGCGAGGCGGAGCCAAUCUCACAAAACCGAUCGUAGUCCGGAUUGCACUCUGCAACUCGAGUGCAUGAAGUCGGAAUCGCUAGUAAUCGCAGGUCAGCAUACUGCGGUGAAUACGUUCCCGGGUCUUGUACACACC